UACGGAGGAUGCAAGCGUUGUUCGGAAUUACUGGGCGUAAAGCGUGCGUAGGCGGCGAUUCAAGUCAGGGGUGAAAGCCUGGAGCUCAACCCCGGAACUGCCCUUGAAACUGGGAAGCUAGAAUCUUGGAGAGGUUAGUGGAAUUCCGAGUGUAGAGGUGAAAUUCGUAGAUAUUCGGAAGAACACCAGUGGCGAAGGCGACUAACUGGACAAGUAUUGACGCUGAGGUACGAAAGCGUGGGGAGCAAACAGG
rnacentral:rRNA from 1 species